rnacentral:rRNA from 1 species
GGCCCGCACAAGCGGUGGAGUAUGUGGUUUAAUUCGACGCAACGCGCAGAACCUUACCCAGACUUGACAUCCCUGGCCCGCCAUAGAGAUAUGGUUCCUCCUUAACCGGAGGCCAGGUGACAGGUGCUGCAUGGCUGUCGUCAGCUCGUGUCGUGAGAUGUUCGGUUAAGUCCGGUAACGAGCGCAACCCCUGUCCUUAGUUGCCAAUUAUGGAACUCUAAGGAGACUCCCGGUGUCAAACCGGCGGAAGAUGGGGAUGACGUCAAGUCCUCAUGGCCCUUACGUCUGGGCUACACACGUACUACAAUGGUGUCUACAAAGAGUCGCAAACCGCGAGGUCAAGCCAAUCUCAAAAAAGACGCUCAG